rnacentral:rRNA from 1 species
UCGUCGCUCGAGAGUUUGAUCAUGGCUCAGAUUGAACGCUGGCGGCAUGCCUUACACAUGCAAGUCGAACGGCAGCGCGGGGCAACCUGGCGGCGAGUGGCGAGCGGGUGAGUAAUAUAUCGGAACGUACCCUGGAGUGGGGGAUAACGUAGCGAAAGUUACGCUAAUACCGCAUACGAUCUAAGGAUGAAAGUGGGGGAUCGCAAGACCUCGUGCUCCUGGAGCGGCCGAUAUCUGAUUAGCUAGUUGGUAGGGUAAAAGCCUACCAAGGCAUCGAUCAGUAGCUGGUCUGAGAGGACGACCAGCCACACUGGGACUGAGACACGGCCCAGACUCCUACGGGAGGCAGCAGUGGGGAAUUUUGGACAAUGGGCGCAAGCCUGAUCCAGCAAUGCCGCGUGAGUGAAGAAGGCCUUCGGGUUGUAAAGCUCUUUUGUCAGGGAAGAAACGGGUGAGGUUAAUACCUUUGCCUAAUGACGGUACCUGAAGAAUAAGCACCGGCUAACUACGUGCCAGCAGCCGCGGUAAU